rnacentral:rRNA from 1 species
CGCGUAGGUGGUAGUGCAAGUCUGGGGUGGAAUCUUAGGGCUUAACCCUAAAACUGCCUUGGAAACUGCAUUACUUGAGUCAGUGAAGGGAGGGUAGAAUUCCUGGUGUAGCGGUGAAAUGCGUAGAUAUCAGGAGGAAGGCCUGUGGCGAAGGCGGCCCUCUGGCGCUGAACUGACACUGAGGCGCGAAAGCGUGGGUAGCAAACAGGAUUAGAUACCCUGGUAGUCCACGCCCUAAACGGUGGGUACUAGGUGUAGGGCUCGUAAGGGUUCUGUGCCGAAGGGAAACCAUUAAGUACCCCGCCUGGGGAGUACGGCCGCAAGGUUGAA